UAAUAAUACAACAUACACUCACCCACACCAUACUCUAGCCGUCACCCCUCAGCCCCUUUAACCCAACGCAUGUGCACGUGCCCGCGAAUAUGAGAGGGCGUUGAGGGGAGGAGCUGUCGUGGAGCCACCGCGUCUCGUCCAGUCGUUGCCAUCGAGGAUCAGAGAGAGCUGUCGCAGCCGUUACUACCAUUGUCGCCGCCGUUGGAGGGUCGUCACCAUUCGCUGAGGGUGAUAAAUGCGAGGAGGGAGAGAUGUGCGAGCUUAAGGGAGUUGGAAGAGUGCCGCCGGCUUUUGUAUGUCGUCGUCGUCACUGCCACAUCCUCCAUCGGUGCUACUGCACGCGAGCUGGAGGAAAGGGAGCUGUCGCUGCUCGUCGUUUUGAGUUGCUCCGUCGUUGCUGUUGGAUCUGUCGUGGUGAGAAACGAGAUGGAAGGGGAGCCGUUCGCCAUUGCCGCUGUUGUAGGCUACGCUACCAUGGUUGUGGGCGCUGGAACCAUUGCUUGAGCCGCUGCUGUUCAAUUUAGUCAUUCCUCUUUAGUUACAAGUGGAGCUAAGAUUGCGGUUGCCGCUGCUGCAGGCCGGGAGAAAAAGGACUUUUUGUGCGUUUUAUAGCUUUCGGAUUUUGACUACUCGAGGUUGAGACUUUAAACACCGUCUGGAUAAGAUGCAAGGGUUGUGGUUUGUCCUACUUGCUCCGGAUUAAGCGAGUAAGAUGUAAGGGUUGCGAUUUGGUCCCAUUUACUCUGCAUUGUGGUGUUCCAUAUCCAGCUUAGCUACCGGGUGUGUGUUGGGCUUGGCAUUAUAAUCGACAAGAAACGGAUGAGAAAGCAUAUGAAGAGUUUUCUGUAACACCCUACCAUUUAUUGCCUUAUGCUUAAGUCAUAAUUCAAUUAUGGUUUGGUGCUACGACACAAGGUUAAGAUAUAAAUAUGUAUAUAUAGAAAGAAGUAUUACACUAGAAGCCUGUGAAAGGAUUUAAAACUCGAGAAAAUUCGUCGAUCGCUCACACUCGAUAACGUAUAUAUAUAAGCAUGUCGGGAGAAAGGUAGAUAAUUAAAAGCUCGAAGGAAGAAUAAGAGUAAAGAGACAUAUAUAAGUAUCAACUAGUCUCGACCCACGAAGAUUAUGCCGGCUAGAGUUACAACAGUAAAACUGUUGGAUAGACAUAACCUAUCUCUCCAAAAUACAUCAUAAGCCUCUAAAGGAAAGUCUUCAAAGCAAGUGCAUAAUAUAAAUGUUUCCAAAAGAAGGAGAGUGUCUAAGAUUAAAGCAGAAUAAAAGGUCUUCUUCACUGUCCUUCCAGAUAAAUCUCCUGCUCACUGAGAAGCGUCGGGACCUGCAUUUGAAAAGUAAUAAUUUUCAAAAUAGGUGAGAACAUCAUCCUUUACGGGAUUCUCAGCAGGGCAAUAAUUUCAAAUAAAGACUAUGUAAAACCACAUGAACUCGUUAGGUAAUCCCAAUCUCUAAUCACAUAAAGUUCAAGCCUAGGGUUCUUACUAAUUUGAUCAAGGUAGACAAACUAAAUCUCAACUAUAUUAGUAAUCUUUAAAUCUCAAUUUUCCCUUAUAUAAAUCAUCAUCUCUCUCAAUAUCAUAGAUUCCUAACUCAUUUAAUAAUUCAAUAUUAAAAUUUAAUUUCAAUAUUAUCAAUUCAUUCUUAGUUUUUCUUUUAUUUUCUUUUUUCCACAAUUCUCAAUCAUCACCUUUCAUUAAGAACAACCCUCAGCAUCACCACCGUCAGUAUAAAGGAUCUCUUAGCUCUGCAAACACAUAUAAGACAAUACAAAGAAUACACAAAUAGAGAAAACAGAUAAAACAAUUAGCAUAUAGGUACAAUUAUUCAAAUGGGCAAGUCCAAUACAAAAUGCACACCCAAACAAAAUACACAAAUGCCAAUAAUGAAUACACAAAUAGAGAAAACAGAUAAAACAAUUAGCAUAUAGGUACAAUUAUUCAAAUGGGCAAGUCCAAUACAAGAUGCACACUCAAACAAAACACACAAAUGCCAAUAAUGUAUGCCUGUCCUAUGGUCAAUGAGCUCAUCUGUCGGUUAUACAGCCAAACCCGACAUGUCCGGUAGCUAACCCUGGAUAAUCCCUCGGUGUGUGCAUACCCAAGUUCAAACUUAUAUUCAUUGAUCAAUGUCCAUGGGGAAACAUCCGGAAAUGUAUAAAUGUCCGGCCACAUUUUACGACAGAGGGUUAACAAAGUCUCAAUUCUGACAGGGUGCAAGCGGGAUAAAGCCACCAUCCUUGCAUAUUAUCCCGAAAGCUCAAAUACUGACUGGGAGCAAGCUGGACAAAACCACAAUCCUUGUAUCUACCCCAGAAGCUCAAUUAUCAAUCAAAUUCAUUCUCAUUAUCCUCUCGAAUUAACUCAAUCUCAUCAUUUAAUCAUAUCUCAUUAUACUCUCGAAUCAACUCAAUUUCAUCAUUCAAUCAUAUCAUGUCAUUCUCAUUAUUCAAUCACAUCAAAUCAUUCCUGCAAUCAGUUCCAACUCACCUCAACUCAAUAUUUUCCUUUCCAAUACUUUCUACCCUCUAAUUCACCGGUUCAUACCCAUUAUACGAUUUACGAAAUUUUGGAACGUUAGGAAAAUGUUUUAAAGGCAUAAGAUUCAUUCCAAAUCCUAGAAACUAGUUAUCGGAUCUCAAAUAUGGGUUACAGAAGUAAAACAGCAGAUUGGAUAAGCAAAAAUAGUUAAAAAUCAUCAUCUUAGAAAAACAUGACAGUUGUGCGUACGCAUGCCUCGUGCGACCCACAAGUCCCCCUUUGCGCGUACGCACGGAACACGCACGAAAAACAUUCAAUUCUGGAAAUGCGGGUUGUGCGUACGCAUUCCUGGUGCGUAUGCGCAACUUCGUUUUUGUGCGUACACAUGAAACUCGCACGAAAUCAAUUCUCUUCUGUUACACCCCUCAUGCGUAUGUACGGGUCAUGCGUAUGCAUGACCUUAGUUUUCUGCAACUUAUGUAGAAUUUAAUUUUAAACUCUCAUAAAUUUUUCUACAAAAUUCAGUUUUCCUUCAUUCUUUGAUCAUUUUAAAGAUAUUUCUACUAGCUUUAAUUUAAGACAAAUCUCAUUGAAAUCCAAACUCCGAGCGCCAAGUUAUAGCUCGUCGAAGUUGGCUAAAAAUAUUAUUUUUACCAAUUUCAUCUAAUCCCUUAAUUCCAUCCAUUCUCAAUUCAAUUCAAUCCUAAACCAGUUCAAAACCAUUUCUACCAUCCUAAACACUCAUUCAUCAGUCCUCAACCAUUCCAAUCCUAAAUAACCCACUUCCAACUUAUUUAACACAUUCAAUUAACUAUAUCCAUAUUCAUCAACAAUAUGCAACAUCCAUAUAUUCAAACUCUCAAUCAACCAAUAAUCAAUCCUCUAAUUCUCAUACAAUAAUUCACACUGUUCACCUCAACUUAUCACAUAGGAGAUUUUCUCACCCUAUCACGGCCUCUGGCCCAAUAUCACAAAUCGUAAUAUUCAUACAUCUAAUUCUCAAUUAAAACUUCAACAGGCAUACUCAUUUUCAUGCAACAUGAUACCAACAUAUAUUACAAUAUCCACUUGCAAUAAUAUCACAUCACACUCCUCAGUUUCAUGUCAAAACACAUCAACCAACAUGAUACUCAUACAAGCCAUUGUUCAAAUACAUCAACAAUCAAUUUCAUUCAACUUAUUCUAGGGGCAAGUAACCUAGGUUUUCACAUAACCUUACAUAAUUCCUACUCAAAACUACCACCCGUACCUUAAUGUCGCAAUUCCAAGCUUUCAAGCUUUUCUUUCCAAAAUUCCACCAAGCCAAGCUUCCAAUUACUCUAUUUAACACCAUAUUAUAUAAUUUGGCACAAUAUUAAAAACUAGGAUUUUCAUAAAUUGAUUAACCAAGAGGAAAAAAGAGUUCUUUACUUUUACCCACUAAAAUUAGUGAUGAAUACCACUAAGAACACAAGCUAGAGAGUCCCUAUAACAUCAAAAUCACCAAAAGUCCUCAAUACCAAAACCAAAAAUAUGUUUUAGCUUUGAAUGAGAAUAUGGGAUUGGGAUUUCAAUUUAAUCACCAAACUAUUCAAAUAGAAUUGAAGAGGGAGAGACAAGCUUCGCGUGGCUGCAAAUGGUGCGAUAAUCGGAGCUCCGUAGCAAAAGUUAUGGAACUUUAAAGGUGGAGUUAGGAUUAGGUUUUCUCCUCUCUUCUCCCUUCUCUAAAUUUUAGUUGUCCCCUUCCAAAAUGAAUGAGGAAUGUGCUGAAUUGUGUGUUAAGUGUGGGUAAUACUUGGGCUUGGGCCCGGUGUAGCCCAAUUUCAUUUCCUUAGUCUGCUGGCCCAACUUUGGGCUAAAACCCCUUAAGAUACACAUUUUAAUUUGCAUCCUAAAUAUUUUUAUUUUUUCAAAUUAUAAAUAUUAAUUCUCUAAUCCUUUUUUGGUCUUAUUUAAUUUAUUUGUUAGUUGUUAAUUAUUUAUUUAUUAUUUUGCGAGAUUUUACAUUUCUGUGCUUUUUGGUUGUGCUUUAUGGUUGUGUUAUCUUAGAUUUUUGUUCCCUCGCCCUUGUUGUCGAUGUUUACAUUUUUGUAUAGAGGAAUAGGAGUUGUGGUUUUAUGACAGGAUUUUGUACAUAUGUACAUAUAUUAAAUGUGAAUGUAAUAGCGUUGUGUAUACAUAUAAUUGUAUGUAUGAAUGUGUGG